rnacentral:rRNA from 1 species
GGGGAAUAUUGGACAAUGGGCGCAAGCCUGAUCCAGCCAUGCCGCGUGAGUGAUGAAGGCCUUAGGGUUGUAAAGCUCUUUCGCGCGCGACGAUAAUGACGGUAGCGCGAGAAGAAGCCCCGGCUAACUUCGUGCCAGCAGCCGCGGUAAUACGAAGGGGGCUAGCGUUGUUCGGAAUCACUGGGCGUAAAGCGCAUGCAGGCGGAUCGUUUAGUCGGGGGUGAAAUCCCGAGGCUCAACCUCGGAACUGCCUCCGAUACUGGCGAUCUUGAGUCCGGGAGAGGUGAGUGGAACUGCGAGUGUAGAGGUGAAAUUCGUAGAUAUUCGCAAGAACACCAGUGGCGAAGGCGGCUCACUGGCCCGGUACUGACGCUCAGGUGCGAAAGCGUGGGGAGCAAAC